UGAGACUGAGAACUUACUUCU
ensembl:piRNA 21ur-314 ncRNA